UUUGGUGACUAAGGCGAAGAGGUCACACCCGUUCCCAUGCCGAACACGGAAGUUAAGCUCUUCAGCGCCGAUGGUAGUUGGGGGUUUCCCCCUGUGAGAGUAGGACGUUGCCAAGC
rnacentral:rRNA from 1 species